GACGAACGCUGGCGGCGCGCCUAACACAUGCAAGUCGAACGAGCGAGAGAGAGCUUGCUUUCUCGAGCGAGUGGCGAACGGGUGAGUAACGCGUGAGGAACCUGCCUCAAAGAGGGGGACAACAGUUGGAAACGACUGCUGAUACCGCAUAAGCCCACGACCCGGCAUCGGGUAGAGGGAAAAGGAGCAAUCCGCUUUGAGAUGGCCUCGCGUCCGAUUAGCUAGUUGGUGAGGUAACGGCCCACCAAGGCGACGAUCGGUAGCCGGACUGAGAGGUUGAACGGCCACAUUGGGACUGAGACACGGCCCAGACUCCUACGGGAGGCAGCAGUGGGGAAUAUUGCACAAUGGGGGAAACCCUGAUGCAGCGACGCCGCGUGGAGGAAGAAGGUCUUCGGAUUGUAAACUCCUGUUGUUGAGGAAGAUAAUGACGGUACUCAACAAGGAAGUGACGGCUAACUACGUG
rnacentral:rRNA from 1 species